rnacentral:tRNA from 2 species
GCCGCCAUGGUGAAAUUG